UAAAACGAUUAUUACCUCCUUGUAUAAAAAGGAAUACAGUCAUGGUUACAAUUACAGAGCAUCUGUCGCACCAAAUCAAAUCAGGUAACGAUGAAGUCCUCGGUCACAAUUGUUUUGGCUGUUUUGUGCCUGUCCGGAUCUGUCCUCUCACAGACCGUUACCACCACCGGAACCAACUUCUUUGAGCAGAUUGGCUCCUUCAUCAGCUCAAACCCACUGCUAGCGCUGUCCUUCGCUGCUCCAUUCUUCGCCGCCAACAGUCUCGGACCUAACCCAAGUAGAAUCAUCGUUCCACCACCCCCACCUUUCCUUCCUCCGUUCCCUCCUAUGGGAAUGAUGCCCAUGCUCCCACCUCCCGUCGUUGUCAGACAUCACUACUGAAAAGGAAACCUACUUCCGAGUUGCCAAUUUUUUAAUGUCUCGGCUUUGGCGCUCUCAUGGGCACAAAAGAUGCUCCACGUCAGAGAAAGGAAGCUUGACAAGAAUGUUGUUCAAAGAGCGGGAAAGACUGUUGUAAAUAAACCCUGUACAAAUAAAAAUUGUUUUGUUUCCA